rnacentral:rRNA from 1 species
UACGUAGGGUGCAAGCGUUAAUCGGAAUUACUGGGCGUAAAGCGUGCGCAGGCGGUUAUAUAAGUCAGAUGUGAAAUCCCUUGGCUCAACCUAGGAACUGCAUUUGAGACUGUAUGGCUAGAGUGUGUGAGAGGGGGGUAGAAUUCCACGUGUAGCAGUGAAAUGCGUAGAUAUGUGGAGGAAUACCGAUGGCGAAGGCAGCCCCCUGGGAUAACACUGACGCUCAUGCACGAAAGCGUGGGGAGCAAACAGG